GCUAAAAUGCCAAUUCCUGUAUGAUCACCAAAGUUAAGCAAUGUCAAGCUUGGUCAGUACCUAGAUGGGUGACCACUUGGGAAUACCAGGUGUU